GGAAACAAGGUCCUGUAAUUGGCUGCCAUAGGCUGAGAGACAGUAAGCACCCCGGACACAUCACCAAUCUGUUGCAGAGCUAACACAGACAGAGAAGCAGACAACCACUGACUUUCACAUCAACACCUGAGAACCACCAGUUAACCUAACCCCAUGCAUUGGAGUGUGGGAGGAAGCAAGAGUACAUGAGAGAACCCACGCAGUUUCAGGGAGGACAUGCAAAAUCCAAACAGCAAGAAUCCAGGACUUUCUUGCUGUCAGCUGGAUUGCGGGUCCCGUGGCACAACCAAGCACUCUUUUCCAGAGACAUGGAUCCAUGCUAAGCUGACAUAACACCGAUCCAUCAUUUGUGGCUAAGGAGACUACGUUGGAAAGCUGACAGCUCAUUAUGUUUAAAUACCCACAUGAUUUGUUGUAUCCUCAGACUGGAUCUGCUGUAAUAUCACAACUGUUAUGUAGAUUUGUGAACUCAAAAAUUGUGUACAUUUAAUGUUAGUAGCACUGUAUUUUUUGAUUUCACUGUGACUUAGAAAUAUAAGCCAUUUUUGCACCCUGCCUCUUUUGGAGCUAUCUGGUGAUAACAAGCCAGGUGGUCUCUUCCUCUUUCAUAAAUAAUGCUUUCAAGAAUUUCAAGUUUUUAAGUACAAGUGGGUGCCUUCUCUGUGUGCUGACCAUUAAAAUCCUUCCCUGUAUGGCUCUGGGAUAUUUUCCUCUUGUGUGUAAUCCCAGUACAGAACUGGAACAUAAGAGAUUAGUGCAUGCACCUUGAUGUGGCCUGGUACACUAGUCAAACUUAUUAGGCUAACUGACACUCAAAAAGAAGUUUUGGGGCUUUUCAAUGACCUCUUUGAUAUUGAAGGGGAUUUUCGGGUUAUAUUAGCUAGCUUGACUAGAAGAUUCUUUCAGAGGUCUUUCAUUCUUCUUUCUUGUAUCUGGAGUCUGUUUGGACAAAUGUUCAAUUCAUAAAGGAAUAAUGGAAAUUAUUAAUGGAAUGUGCACUUUAUUGAAAAGGAUGUUGUUCUUUACAGACGGGACACUGUCAAGAUAGUGAAAACUGUAUCAACAGUAACAUGAUUUGUUUGUAUUCAGUGUAAAUAAAUGGCUCUGAUGCUGUUAAAGUACUUUUUUAAAAAAAAGUUGUACCUCCUCAGUUAUUCACUUGAGUUUACUGCUUGGAGACAGCUUGGGUGCCACACAAAACCCAGGUGUUGAGCUCAUGAGAGCUGUUUUCAUGUGUGUAUUAUUAUCUCUGUAAAAUCAACAGAUGGGG
ensembl:lncRNA